rnacentral:lncRNA from 1 species
AGCUAAUCACAUCAAGGAUGAACUUGUCACCAAUAGCCCUCUACAUAGUCCAACUGUGCCAGAACGUAGAAUGGGUCCUGGUCUUUCUCUUACAUAGCAUAACAUAACAGUCCAACUGUGCCAGAACGUAGAAUGGGUCCUGGUCUUUCUCUUACAUAGUGCCAGCGAACGUAGAAUGGGUCCCACUGGUCUUACAUUCCGUACCGUACAUAUCACAUCGUCACAUCAUAGAUCGAGG